rnacentral:misc_RNA from 1 species
AAAGUCGUAACAAGGUUUCCGUAGGUGAACCUGCGGAAGGAUCAUUAUUGAAUGAACUUGGCUUGGUUGUUGCUGGCUUCUUUGGAAGUAUGUGCACACCUUGUCAUCUUUAUAUCUCCACCUGUGCACCUCUUGUAGACCUGGAUUCAACUUUCCGAGGUAACUCGGUCGUGAGGAAUUGCUUAAUGAGCUUUCCUUGAAAGUUUCCAGGCCUAUGUUUUUCAUAUACACCAUAAGAAUGUAACAGAAUGUAAUUAUUAGACUUUAAUGUCUUAUAAACUAUAUACAACUUUCAGCAACGGAUCUCUUGGCUCUC